CCCCUCUCAGGGUGGCACCUGGAGAGUUUCCAGUACUCUACCGGCCUCGACUACAGGAGGGAGAGUCAAGCCAGAGGCCUAUCCAUUCCAUUCCUAGCUGGGGCAGGGGCUAGCGAGUGGAAGGCCAUUUGCUACAAGU